CAAAAUUUCCUAAAACAUUUGGAAGUUAUGUGCCUCUUUUGAAGCUUCUGCUUGUGAUAUAGAAGAGCUCAUUUCUUGGUUGUAUUCGUCAUGUCAAACCAUUCUGGAUUCGGUGGCUCCGUUUAAGAUUUGGUAAUCCAUGGCUAAUUCUGAGCCUUGAUUAAAUGACAGAAGUCAUGAUGCCAGGAGGAAAUGUCGCCAAGCCGAGCACAAGUGGAAAAAGGACAU